rnacentral:rRNA from 2 species
GGGGAUAACAUUUGGAAACAGAUGCUAAUACCGCAUAAAACCUAGCACUGCAUGGUGCAAGGUUGAAAGAUGGUUUCGGCUAUCACUUUAGGAUGGACCCGCGGUGCAUUAGUUAGUUGGUGAGGUAAAGGCUCACCAAGACCGUGAUGCAUAGCCGACCUGAGAGGGUAAUCGGCCACACUGGGACUGAGACACGGCCCAGACUCCUACGGGAGGCAGCAGUAGGGAAUCUUCCACAAUGGACGAAAGUUUGAUGGAGCAACGCCGCGUGAGUGAAGAAGGUUUUCGGAUCGUAAAACUCUGUUGUUGGAGAAGAACGUAUUUGAUAGUAACUGAUCAGGUAGUGACGGUAUCCAACCAGAAAGCCACGGCUAAUUACGUGCCAGCAGCCGCGGUAAUACGUAGGUGGCAAGCGUUGUCCGGAUUUAUUGGGCGUAAAGCGAGCGCAGGCGGUUUCUUAAGUCUGAUGUGAAAGCCUUCGGCUCAACCGAAGAAGUGCAUCGGAACUGGGAAACU